AUUGAACGCUGGCGGCAGGCCUAACACAUGCAAGUCGAGCGGCAGCGGGUCCUUCGGGAUGCCGGCGAGCGGCGGACGGGUGAGUAAUGCCUAGGAAUCUGCCUGGUAGUGGGGGAUAACGUUCGGAAACGGACGCUAAUACCGCAUACGUCCUACGGGAGAAAGUGGGGGAUCUUCGGACCUCACGCUAUCAGAUGAGCCUAGGUCGGAUUAGCUAGUUGGUGGGGUAAAGGCUCACCAAGGCGACGAUCCGUAACUGGUCUGAGAGGAUGAUCAGUCACACUGGAACUGAGACACGGUCCAGACUCCUACGGGAGGCAGCAGUGGGGAAUAUUGGACAAUGGGCGAAAGCCUGAUCCAGCCAUGCCGCGUGUGUGAAGAAGGUCUUCGGAUUGUAAAGCACUUUAAGUUGGGAGGAAGGGCAGUCAGUUAAUACCUUGCUGUUUUGACGUUACCAACAGAAUAAGCACCGGCUAACUUCGUGCCAGCCGCCGCUGUAAAAC
rnacentral:rRNA from 1 species